CAUAAUUUAAAUUGAUUUCAGUCUCUGUGAAAUUGAAAGUUGAAACCCGGCACAGCAGCACACUGCACACACUCGCGGGCACACACUAAAAACACUCACAAAUUGCUUCUUAUGAUGAUUAAGAGAGAUGGUUUCGGCUUGCUUUUGGGCUUUGUUACCCAGGACCAGUGGUGUUGUGAGGAGUGCAAUGCAUGGAGCUUAUUCUCUGUCAUGGAGUAGAAGUUUUCAGGAUGUAGAUAGUAGUAGAGCUGCUAAUUUGGGACUUUGCUCGACGCGAAUUAGCUGUCAGUGCUAUUCAUCUGAGUGGCCUAUUGGACAUAAGGACACUGGGACUCAAGCGAUGCUGAAGGACGAGAAGGAUGCAUUCUUUGUGGUUAGAAAAGGGGAUAUUAUUGGUGUUUACAAGAGUUUAAGUGAUUGUCAGGCUCAAGUUGGAUCGUCGGUACGUGAUCCUCCUGUCAGUGUGUAUAAAGGUCAUGCUAUGCCGAAGGGUGUAGAGAAAUAUCUUCUUUCUUGUGGCCUUAAAGGUGCUCUUUAUUCUUUUAAGGCUGAUGAUCUAACUGAACGGCUUUUUGGUACUCUUUUGCCUUGCCAUUCAUAUCAGCUCCCUUCUUCUUGUAGAGACGAAAUAUCCAUCAAGCUUGGGCCAAAGAAGUGGCCACAGGAAGUGUUAUCUUCUUUAUCUGGGCAUUCUUGCACUCUAGAAUUUGAUGGUUCUUCAAAAGGAAAUCCUGGGCAAUCUGGUGCGGGAGUUGUGCUUCGAGCUGCUGAUGGAAGUUGGAUUUGUAGGUUGCGUGAAGGUCUGGGCAUAGAAACCGCUUAUGCUUCUCAAUAUCAAGCUAUAAUUUUAGGGCUGCAAUAUGCACUGGAUAAAGGGUUUAGAAGCAUCCAUGUUCAGGGUGACUCUGACCUUGUUUGCAUGCAGGUUUGUCACACCCAUGGGCAUAUGCUUUGGAUCCGCUUUUUCCCCAUUCACUCUGCAAUUAUUCAUUUGGUGCUGACCUGCUUGGCUCUCUUCUUGUUAAAUUUCUCAAUUUCAUAUGACUUUGUUUCCUUUCUUCCAUUUUCCAUGUGGUCCAUUUUUUGCUGCAUCGUGGUUCAAAAAUCUGGUUUGAAGUUCCAUUCCACCAAUGGUUCAAAGCAAAGAACCUUAAAUUGGUAAUGUCUAGAGGGAAUAAGUUUGUCUGGACAUAGAGCUAGUACGCACCUCGGGUCAUUUGCCAGAAUAGGGCUCCUGGCAUCGUAUUCAAUAAUCUAUCAAUGUGACCCCCUUUUUUUUUGACCAUUUUUUCAUGUAUAUACCAGGCUAUGUUUCUCCCUGUAAAAAUUGCUGUAAAUAGAGCUGUUCUUUUAAAUGUUUCAUGUGGUAGACUGGUAAUUUACUGAUAAAAAGUUAGAAAAGUAUUCUAUUAUAGUAGGUAUAAGAGCUUGAAACAUUAUACUUGUGUGUAAUGGGGCUGGUUAUUUUGGUUUAUUUCCUUUAUGGGGCAUUUAGGAAUAUGACUUUUGCUGCAUGGUAGUAUCUUGUUCCUAGAAUAAUAGUACACGGAUUCGUUCUCGAUUUAUCUGCUCCAAAAGUUCAUAUUUCGACGAAAUAGAUUCAAGGCUUAUGGAAGGUGAAAGACAAAAAGAUCUCCAUCUUGUGUGAGAAGGCAAAAAGUUUGAAGCAUAAGUUCACGUCAUUCCGGAUCAUUCAUGUGCAAAAGGACUUGAACUCUGAGGCUGAUAAACAGGCAAAGUUGGCUGUUAAGCUCGCUG